UACAGAGGGUGCGAGCGUUAAUCGGAAUUACUGGGCGUAAAGCGUGCGUAGACGGUUAUGUAAGUCAGAUGUGAAAGCCCCGGGCUUAACCUGGGAAUGGCAUUUGAGACUGCAUAGCUAGGAUGCGGAAGAGGGAAGUGGAAUUUCCGGUGUAGCGGUGAAAUGCGUAGAUAUCUGGAGGAACACCGGUGGCGAAGGCGGCAUCCUGGACCGGCAGUUGACGCUGAGGCGGCGAAGGCCAGGGGGAGCCAAACGGG
rnacentral:rRNA from 1 species